UACGUAGGGUGCAAGCGUUAAUCGGAAUUACUGGGCGUAAAGCGUGCGCAGGCGGUGAUGUAAGACAGAUGUGAAAUCCCCGGGCUCAACUUGGGAACUGCAUUUGUGACUGCAUCGCUGGAGUGCGGCAGAGGGGGAUGGAAUUCCGCGUGUAGCAGUGAAAUGCGUAGAUAUGCGGAGGAACACCGAUGGCGAAGGCAAUCCCCUGGGCCUGCACUGACGCUCAUGCACGAAAGCGUGGGGAGCGAACGGG
rnacentral:rRNA from 1 species